rnacentral:rRNA from 1 species
UGGCCGCGGGAUUUGAUUAAGCCAUGCGAGUCGAACGAGUUUAGGCUCGUGGCGUACGGCUCAGUAACACGUGGAUAACCUACCCUUAGGACUGGGAUAACCCUGGGAAACUGGGGAUAAUACCGGAUAGGCAAUUUUUCCUGUAAUGGUUUUUUGUUUAAAUGUUUUUUCGCCUAAGGAUGGGUCUGCGGCCGAUUAGGUAGUUGGUUAGGUAAUGGCUUACCAAGCCGUUGAUCGGUACGGGUUGUGAGAGCAAGAGCCCGGAGAUGGAACCUGAGACAAGGUUCCAGGCCCUACGGGGUGCAGCAGGCGCGAAACCUCCGCAAUGUGAGAAAUCGCGACGGGGGGAUCCCAAGUGCCAUUCUUAACGGGAUGGCUUUUCAUUAGUGUAAAGAGCUUUUGGAAUAAGAGCUGGGCAAGACCGGUGCCAGCCGCCGCGGUAACACCGGCAGCUCUAGUGGUAGCAAUUUUUAUUGGGCCUAAAGCGUCCGUAGCCGGUUUAAUAAGUCUCUGGUGAAAUCCUGUAGCUUAACUGUGGGAAUUGCUGGAGAUACUAUUAGACUUGAGACCGGGAGAGGUUAGAGGUACUCCCAGGGUAGAGGUGAAAUUCUGUAAUCCUGGGAGGACCGCCUGUUGCGAAGGCGUCUAACUGGAACGGUUCUGACGGUGAGGGACGAAAGUUAGGGGCGCGAACCGGAUUAGAUACCCGGGUAGUCCUAACUGUAAACGAUGCGGACUUGGUGUUGGGGUGGCUUUGAGCUGCUCCAGUGCCG